rnacentral:misc_RNA from 1 species
UUUCAAAUGAUACGGCCUCCAGCAGACAACCUUGCUUUCGCCCACGUCGUUGCGAUGCAUUUGCAACCUCCGCGUCUUCUUUUCUAGACCGACAGCAUCUGACCGUUCAUCUCCAGCAGAAGGAUCAGGUGGAUCGGGCCCAGCAGCCGCUGGUGGAGAGCGGCCAUCAAACGAAACGUCCAGCAGGUGAAUCAGACGAUGGCCGAUACUGGCGAGGAAGUGGAAUUGAUGUGUUGUCCACGGCCACAGCCACGGGCCUCUCGGGCUCGGCCAGCCAUUCAGUGGCCGGCCAGAAGCAGGUGGCCAACGUGGAGCAGUCAACCAUGACGGCCAGUCUGAUGGGUGAGACGUCGGUGACUCAGCGCCCGGCGAGCUGUCCAGCUUUCAGUAUCUGAUGCACCUCAACACGUUGGCCGGCCGCUCAUACAACGACCUGAUGUGCAGUACUUACUCAGAUUCUGGUUUCGGGAUCGAGACGGCCAGACUGGCAACCGUCUAGGAUUUGUCGCGUUUGACUUUCAUCUGGCAGUCCCGUGCCGCUGGCGGCCAUCGACAUCAACAACCUGACGGGCGACAUCGCUACCUGAUGCUCCGGCACUUGGCUCCACCUCUGGUCCAUCUACGGCGACCCACUGGCCAGCGUCAACACCCCGGUGGGCCAGAUCAGCCGCUCGCAGCACAUCCUCUGCGUCUGUUUCUUGCAGUUGAACGAGUUGGACCCCAUGAACGUCAUCCUGACGGGAUCGACGGACGGCGUCGUUCGAAUGUGGUCCCUCGACUACGUCCAGGUUCCCAACGAGGAAACGCCGACACAAGUUCCAAGGACGGAAGAAACGGCCGAGGCUCCUAAACUGGUCGAAGAAUCGGAAGAGGAUUCACCCGACGAUGCCCAGCUGCCCGGUGCCAUUCUUCAGCGAUAGGCGUCCGUCAGCAGUUUGCCCAUCAGCUGCGGCGACAGCAGCGAACACGAAGGGCCUGACAGUACUUCUUCGCCUGUCCCAAUUCAACUGAAGGAGGGAGAGAAUCCAUCGCUGGAACAGCCGGAACAACAACAGCAAUCGACGGAGCCGUUGCAGACGAGCCGGAGCGAUUCGAGUCUGAACGGAACGUUUGAAAUGAUUAGCGAGUCGGAAGUGAGAGUUAGCGCCAUCCAGCAGCAGCAGCAGCAGACGCUCAAAGCUAACGUGGUGGCUUCUUUUGUUAGCCAACAGCCGGGCAAGAAAUCCCGCCACGUCCUGAAAGAAGGUUUCAAGUGGCAGAGGCAAUUGAUUUUCCGGACGAAAUUGACGAUGCACACGGCCUACGAUCGCCAAGACAACAGCGAACCUGCGUCCGUCACAUCUCUGGCCAUUUCCAAAAAGGGACAAUCGAACUGUAUUGGUGGGCGACGCAAGCGGUCGCAUCUAUUCAUGGAGCGUGACGGACGUGACGGGCCGCUCGGUGGCCGACCAUUGGCUCCGCGACGACACGGUCGAAAUGUGCACUAAAUGCCGCGUGAAAUUCUCGUUGACUGAGCGCCGACAUCACUGCCGCAACUUCGGUCACGUCUUCUGCUCCCGUUGCAGUCGCUACGAGUCUGAAAUUAUGCAAUUGAGGAUCCGCCGGCCGGUGCGGGUGUGUCAGGAGUGCUACGCUUCAUUGAAAAUGUCCAGCGAUGGAACUUCUUAAUUUUCGACUGACAAAAGAUGAAGAGAUGUUUGACUUAA